rnacentral:snRNA from 1 species
AUACUUACCUGGCAGGGGAGACUCCAUGAUCACGUAGGUGGUUUUCCCAGGAUGAGGCUCCGCCAUUGCACUUGGGCUGUGCUGACCCCUGCGAUUUCCCCAAAUGCGGGAAACUCGACUGCAUCAUUUGUGGUAGUGGGGGACUGUGUUCGUGCUCUUA